CCUACGGGGGGCAGCAGUGGGGAAUAUUGGACAAUGGGGGUAACCCUGAUCCAGCCAUGCCGCGUGUGUGAAGAAGGCCCUCGGGUUGUAAAGCACUUUCAGUGAGGAAGAACGCCUGGUGGUUAAUACCCAUCAGGAAAGACAUCACUCACAGAAGAAGCACCGGCUAACUCCGUGCCAGCAGCCGCGGUAAUACGGAGGGUGCGAGCGUUAAUCGGAAUUACUGGGCGUAAAGCGCGCGUAGGUGGCUUGAUAAGCCGGUUGUGAAAGCCCCGGGCUCAACCUGGGAACGGCAUCCGGAACUGUCAAGCUAGAGUGCAGGAGAGGAAGGUAGAAUUCCCGGUGUAGCGGUGAAAUGCGUAGAGAUCGGGAGGAAUACCAGUGGCGAAGGCGGCCUUCUGGACUGACACUGACACUGAGGUGCGAAAGCGUGGGUAGCAAACAGGAUUAGAUACCCGUGUAGUC
rnacentral:rRNA from 1 species